UAGGGAAUCUCCGGCAAUGGGGGCAACCCUGACCGAGCAACGCCGCGUGAGUGAAGAAGGUUUUCGGAUCGUAAAGCUCUGUUGUAAGAGAAGAACGUGUGUGAGAGUGGAAAGUUCACACAGUGACGGUAACUUACCAGAAAGGGACGGCUAACUACGUGCCAGCAGCCGCGGUAAUACGUAGGUCCCGAGCGUUGUCCGGAUUUAUUGGGCGUAAAGCGAGCGCAGGCGGUUUAAUAAGUCUGAAGUUAAAGGCAGUGGCUUAACCAUUGUUCGCUUUGGAAACUGUUAAACUUGAGUGCAGAAGGGGAGAGUGGAAUUCCAUGUGUAGCGGUGAAAUGCGUAGAUAUAUGGAGGAACACCGGUGGCGAAAGCGGCUCUCUGGUCUGUAACUGACGCUGAGGCUCGAAAGCGUGGGGAGCAAACAGG
rnacentral:rRNA from 1 species